AGCUAUGUAUCCCAUGAAUCCUUACCAACGGAACCAAGUACCUUACAAUCCUCAUUAUUAUCCCCACUUCGAAUCGAAUCCUCAUCAUCAUAUGAACAUUGAUCCAACUAGAUCUACAUUACCUUAUGAAUCUUGGCCUUGUGGUGGUAGCAGCUAUGGGCAUCCUUAUCCACCUCAGUGUCACAGUUGCUGUAUCCAUAACAAUUCUCCGAGCCAGUGUGCAUUUAGCCCUCCGUAUCCUUACCUUCCACCACCUACAUAUCCUGUGAUGUAUCCUACUCAUUAUGUUCC
rnacentral:lncRNA from 1 species